UCAAACUUGGUCAUUUAGAGGAAGUAAAAGUCGUAACAAGGUUUCCGUAGGUGAACCUGCGGAAGGAUCAUUAACGUGCAAGCUGCCCGCCCCUGCGGCUGGGCCUUGACGCCCCCUGUCUACCUUCUGGUUGCUUCGGCGAGGCCACUGGCUUCGGGCUGGUCCACUGCCCUGGGUGGUGCCGUCCUCGCCGACAGACCCUCCAACGCUGGCUGUUGAGAUGUUGUCCGAGCCUAAAUCAAUCAUGCAAAACUUUCAACGAUGGAUCUCUUGGUUCCAGGAUCGAUGAAGAACGCAGC
rnacentral:misc_RNA from 1 species